GUUUAAUUUAGUAUAUAAAGUAUAACUACCUUCCAAGUAGUAGGACUUACAAAAGAAUUACACA
rnacentral:tRNA from 1 species